ACUUUUCUUAUUAAGUCGAAUCUGAUUUUGUUUUUACUAAUGUGAUGUGUAUUCACUUAACUUUUUGGCCAUUGUGGAAGUGAUGGGCUGCAUGAUUAUGUACAUUCUCUUGAUGAUGCAGUUUCUGAUUUGGUAUGUUGAUGAAUAGCUUGUGAAAAUAAGCUCUUUUGAAUACGUUAUGAAAAUGGUAAAAAUAGUUUAUACAUAAAUGUUCACAUCCGGUUCACUAAGAGAGUAAUUUUCUGUAUAUUUAGGUUUAAGAUUUUCUUCAGUACAUAGAUAUUUAUUUACUUCAAUACAUUUUCUUUCACUAUUUUAGCUUUAAGAUUUUUAUAUUUAGGUUAUAUCAUAAUCACUUUCAAUUAACAAUGAUUUAAUCUUGAUUCUAUUUUUUUUUGUUUAUUUAGAUGUAUUUUGUUUCUAAGACACUUGCUGAACAAGAAGCAUGGAAAUUUGCUAAGGAAAAAAACAUGAAUUUCAUCACAAUUACUCCACCUCUUGUUGUUGGCCCCUUUCUUAGUCCAUCAAUGCCACCUAGCUUAAUCACUGCCCUUUCUUCUAUUACAGGAAAUGAGGCUCAUUAUUCAAUUAUAAAGCAAGAUCAAUUUGUUCAUUUGGAUGAUCUAUGUAAGGCUCAUAUAUUCUUGUUUGAGCAUAUGAAUGAUCUAUGUGAAGCUUAUAUAUUCUAGUAUUUUUUCACCGUUAUAUUAGUUGAAAUGUAAGUUUGGUUUUGAUGAUAAAUGUUAUGCUUUUGGGCCAUUCCGAAUCUGCGUGGAUUUGUGUGGUGCAUCAUUGGUUUUGAAAUUGUACUUGGCUCACUGAAGCAUGAAUUUUAGCUGCUCUUGUUACUUUUGAACUGAGUAUAUUAUGCAACUGUAUGGAUUGGAUAGAUUAUGUAACGAUUUCCUUGUGAUUGCAGGUUAUAAACCCACUUUGGCCAUGAAGAGAUCUUUGAAAAGAAUCAAUUUAGGGAAGGCUUUACCCACUGGCUGUUUCCACUGGCUGUUUGAGACUGAACCGCAACCAUAUACUAUACCUUUGAACUCAUUAGUCAUGGUGUAAAACUAUUAGUAGCUUUGUAUUUGGUUUUGUCUUCACACUAGAAGUACAUUUAUGAUACUUUCAUGAUCGCAUAAUCUAAUGCUAGAAUUGUAUUUAUAAAACAUGGUUGAUCCUAAAUAAAUGAUAGUUUUUGGAUAUUGUUAUUUGUUGUUUUGAUUUGGACUAAAUAAAUUAUUGUUUUCUGAUAUUAUUUUUGGUUGUUUUGAUUUUGACAGAUGGAACAUUUCAUAGAGCGAGAGGACCCAUCUAACCAUGCUGGAGAUUUCAAGAUUUUAUGUGCAGCAAUAGUUUAGGAGCUGUUGUUUCUUCAUCAGAUGUGAAUCCUUGAAUCCUCCGCCAUCAAGUUAUUGGGUUUUUAGAUCUUUAAUUGGAUCAUUUCUAUGCUUCAUCAAGCUGCAGUUGUUAUAUUUGGCCCUCACAUUUGUUGCAGAAUCAUGAAAUCCUUGAGAUUUGUUUUGUGGCCAUUCUGGUUCCAAUACAAAACUAGUUAUUGCAUUAGCAUUCUCAAUGGCAAGUUCAUCGGUCGAAUUUACUUGAUCGAAAAUCGUCACAUUGUUAACAAUAGUCUUGUUGGUAUUUUCUGAUGUUGGUAUUUUGUUAGAAGAGAAUAGAGAGAGAAAAGCAUUGCCAUAAGGAAGUUCAAGAUACUGAAAAGAACACAUAUUUAUGUCAUGCUGUUAAAUAUAUAUACCACAAGUGUGUCCUGAAGAUGUGGAAGAAGAACAAGGAGAUGAUCAAGAAGAAAAUUAAGUUGUGUUUUAUAUUAUAUAGCUAGCUAGUUCUUAGAACUUUUGUUGUUAUUUUGAGAUGACUCUUUGAAAGAAACUUGUGUUUAAUUUAGCUCUUGUUUUGAAUCCCAUGGUUGUUUUGAAUU